rnacentral:rRNA from 1 species
AGCGAACGUUUGCGGCGGGCCUAACACAUGCAAGUCGAACGCACUAGCAAUAGUGAGUGGCGCACGGGUGCGUAACACGUGGGUAAUCAACCCUUCAGCUUGGGAUAACGACUUGAAAGGGUCGCUAAUACCGGAUACGGCGCGGGAGGCUUCGGCUUCUCACGAGAAAGCCUCGCAAGGGGCACUGAAGGACGAGCCUGCGGCCCAUCAGCUAGUUGGUGAGGUAAGAGCUCACCAAGGCGAAGACGGGUAGCUGGUCUGAGAGGAUGAUCAGCCACACUGGAACUGAGACACGGUCCAGACUCCUACGGGAGGCAGCAGUGGGGAAUAUUGCGCAAUGGGCGAAAGCCUGACGCAGCCACGCCGCGUGAGCGAUGAAGGCCUUCGGUCGUAAAGCGUCUGUGGGGAGGAGACGAAGAAAGCCCGUGAAGAGCGGGCCUUGACGGUAUCUCCUUAGCAAGCACCGGCUAACUCCGUGCCAGC